rnacentral:rRNA from 1 species
GCUUACGGCCAUACCACCCUGAGAACGCCCGAUUUCGUCUGAUCUCGGAAGCUAAGCAGGGUCGGGCCUGGUUAGUACUUCGACGGGAGACCGCCUGGGAAUACCAGGUGCUGUAAGCC